rnacentral:tRNA from 1 species
GGUCGCUUAGCUCAGUUGGUUAGAGUAUCACAUUGACAUUGUGGGGGUCGGUGGUUCGAGUCCACUAGCGACCA